rnacentral:rRNA from 1 species
UACGAAGGGGGCUAGCGUUGUUCGGAUUUACUGGGCGUAAAGCGCACGUAGGCGGAUUGUUAAGUUGGGGGUGAAAUCCUGGAGCUCAACUCCAGAACUGCCUUCAAUACUGGCAAUCUCGAGUCCGGAAGAGGUAAGUGGAACUCCUAGUGUAGAGGUGGAAUUCGUAGAUAUUAGGAAGAACACCAGUGGCGAAAGCGACUUCCUGGACCAAUACUGACGCUCAUGUGCGAAAGCGUGGGGAGCAAACAGG